UAGCCCAGUGGCACGGUCUUGGCCAACUUCGAGACUGAACGGUUGGCUGCCGCUACCAUCGCUGAUGUCGGCGCCAGCGACUUACCCGACGAACACGCAUCAGAGUUGAACCCCGAUAUCCUGGAGGUUUUAGGCAUGGACCCAAACGCCUCUAAUACUUAUGGCAAAGAUAUCCAAAAGGAUCUCGCUAUUCGCAUGGAACAUUGUGCGACAGAAGGAUUGUCAAAAGACAUCCGUAAGAAUAUGAUUGAUUCCUAUCUUCUGCCAAAUAAUUGCUAGCUCAUCGGCCCUCUGAAUUUCAUUAAAUCCAUCCGGAAUCUAAAAUUUAAAUACUCCUUGUCGAAACAGAUAAUAAAGAAGGACAAGGCUAUUGAUUCGAAGCAGAGAGUACUUUGUGCAGCUAUUUCGAUCCUUGGGCAGGCUAUCACGCUGGUCCUAUCUUCAAAAGAGAAGGGUGCAAACCUACUACAUCUUUUUAUGGAUAACAGCCGCAUGUUAUGCGAUUGUUAACACGGCAAUAAGUUGACUCGACGGAUCUAUGUGAUUACCUCCAUCAAUAAAUAAAUGAAGGAGUCACUGCACAACACUAAAAUAUACGCUUCUCUGUUUGGUCAGAACUUACCAGACACUUUAAAAGCCGCCAAGGCUAUUAACAAGUCUGACACAGAACUGAAGUUAAACCCUCUUCCUAAACCUGGUAAUGAGAAUAAGUCAAUACAGUCUUCUUCAAAAAACUGGAAGAACAAUGUGCCUCGCAAGCAAGCGGUUGCACCGAAGGAAACGACAAAGACCACGACGAGGAGGAAUCAGCAUUCUGUGUCUUCCAAGGCUUCGCACUAUCAACGCCAAACGAACACUCGUCACUGAAUUCUCCGGUAAAGAACGGUGGUAGGCUAGCUAAUUACAUAAAAUCUUGGUCGCUUAUUACUAAAGAUGCCGUUGUGUUGUCGCAAAAAGGAUUUCGUAUCCCUUAAUAUACGAUAUUGAGGGAUACGAAAUCCUUUUUGCGUGACGAGUAACUCAAACUUGUCUGCCACCAUGUCAGAGCCAUUUUCACACUGAAUUUCAAGCUCAAUAUAAGUUUAAACCAGAUGAUAAAUGUGAACCGGGUCAUGAUCAGUUUUUACCUGGUAUAUCUUUAGUGCCGAAACCGAAUGGUAACAUUCAUAAUAUUAAAUGGAUUUAAAGAUAUUGAACACAUUAAAUUAGAAGAUUUUCGUACAUCUAUAAAUUUACUUUUCCAAGAUUGUUAUAUGGCUAAAAUUUAUCUCAAAGAUGCAUAUUUCAUGAUUAAAUUAAUCCUGAGUAUAAACAAUACUUGUUUAUGGUUUUAUUGGGGUCAAUAAAUUUAUGUAAGUAUUUAAUGUUCUACCGUUCUGUCUCUGUUAGCACAGCAUUAUACCCUAUGUUUUUUACUUAAUUAAUGAAGCCAGUCACUAGAUUACUUCGCUUGAUGACUGGCUCUUCAAAGCAAGAUCUUACGAUCAAUGUUUAAAAGAUAUUCAUCAUCCUAAAACACUUCUCACAGCUCUUGGCUUCAUUAUUAAGGCAGAGAAGCUGCUUUACGCCACACAAGAAGUGUUCAUUUCACGGUUACAACAUUGACUCAGAAACUCUUACGUUUGCCCAGCCGUAGAGUAAGGCUGAGUAUACACCACACUUUUCAAACAAAUUAAAUUUCUAAAUUUGAAUGAUAAUUACGAUAACGAGAUAUUCAUGAAUGUUCAGGAAUCAAUUCAACGAAGCGGUAAUACUUGUAGUCCCGCGCAGUGAUCACACAUUCGCCAUUUAUUAAGAGUAGGUAGAACAAGAAAAUCUUUUGAUGUCUACCUCUCACAGUCGUUCGUUCACCGAUGGACUGUGACUGUGAGAGGUAAACUCGAAUCGGAGUGAAUAUUGUGUGUUUAAAACUGAGCGUAUCCUUUUGGAAAUUUUUUUACUCAUAUCAAUUAAUUCUGUGUGUUUGGUGACAACACAUCUUUUCCCUUAAACGACAACGACGAAAUAGGGCCAACACUGAUUAGCCUUGGCGGCCUGUUUACCUAUUUAAUUCAAACCCUAAACGCAUUUCAGAAAAACCACACUUCGUUAAGUACAGGAAUGGUAUAAUAUUGCUUCACAAUGACUUCACCUACAACAAGUCUACCAGGCUGAACUGGUACUGCUCCAGGCGGACAGCUGCCAGUUGCAAAGCCAAGGUAAAGUUGACAAGUGACGCUAGACACGUGAAGGAGGUAGUCAACACUCAUAACCAUGUGGCCGAAGAAUAUUUGUUGUCUAGAGACGGCACGUUCAUAAAAGGUGUUGGAAUGAAUUCUGUUUUGGUGAAAAAUGAUCACAGUUGGAUGGGAAAUUGAUCACUUCUACUAUCCGCACUAAUUUACAUUUAAAGAGAGAUUUGUUUUUUUUUUUUUUGCUUGUAAAGAAUAAAUUGAAAAACGAAUGCCAAAGAACGCGUUCUUUCAUUUUUGUUGUCAAGUACGUCACGGUAUGUUUAUAAAAAGCGCUAGAGUGAAUGGUUUUCUGAUAUCUAUUAUAUUUUAUGUUAUUGGAUAAAGAAUUGAUCAUUCUAACUUCUUACAUUACAUGUUCGUACUAAUUUAUUUAUUUGACGUAAAAAUAUUUUAUAUCCGACUUAUAGAAACUCCCAAUUUGUCUAAGGUAAUUCCUGUCAGUCGUGGUGGACUCUACGGGAAAACGAUUAUUGAUGUGAAAUAGUUUCACAUACGCAAAUCAUAAUGAGGUUAUUUAAUUAGUUAAUAAUUAGUCAUUAAUAGGUUUAUAUACGUGCGUUAGGGUCCGCUGGACCCGGUAGCGAUUAAAUACGUAAGUGUUUUUUAUCUAAUUCGUAGUACCUUCAUAUCUCACCCGAAGACAUUUUUAUCAAAACGUUGGGUAUUUCUUUGAUAAAACGACACCUACAUAUAAGAAAUUCUUUCAUUACCUAAUAUUCCACAGAAUAUCAAACCUGUAUUCGAAAUAAUCUAUCGGAAUUAGAACCAACUGCAGUAUCCAACGCACCCCUACCAACGAGUGGACGAAAAGUACGUUGCGGUCUAUGUAACUGGAAGAGAGAUAGAAAAACCAAGGUUUUUUGUGUAAAAUGUAAUACACCAGUUUGUGGAGAACACAUGAAACAGAUUUGCGUAAAUUGUUAUGGCUUAGUUUGAUGCAGAGAAAUGUUGGAUAUAACUACACGUUCAUACCCACCAAUAAAGGUGGUCAACUACUGAUGCUGAACGGUUACACAUAUAGGAAGUGUAACAAAAGCUUCAACUACUACUGUUCGAACAUGUCCAGCAAAGGCUACUUGACCUACCAUACUAUACCGACUGCAAAAGGGAAUGCAUUGAUAAUGCUUAACAAAUUUACAUAUUGGAAAGAUAGUAGAAGCCGUAAUUAUUAUUGUUCCAAGAGGGCUUCGGGAUGCAAGGCUCGUCUUAAAUUAGACCAUAAAGGAGUAAUAAUCCUAGCUGAUUGUAACCAUAUACACGAACCACCGAAUUAUAUAAAAACUGCUGCUGGCUAUAUAAAAAUAUGACAACUUUUUGAUCGGUCGAAUAAACAGUAUUUUAAUCUAUGACUUACUUCUAAAAGUAAAAUCGGCACAAUGUGAUUUUGGUUACCAUUUUAUUUCGACGGCGAAAGGCUACAAUUUGCUCAUGUUUAAGGGGUAUACUUACUCCAGAGACCAUAAUACUUUAACUUUUUACUGUUCGAAGCGGCAGGGAUGUAAGGCGCGCAUUAAAUUGGCAACAAGUGGAAGAAUAGUGCAAGCAGACUGCGCCCACUUUCACGAACCCCCGAAUUAUGUGAAAACUUCCUGUGGAUUUUAUUAUAAAAUUAAAUAAAUUAAAUGUAUGUUUAAUUUUUUUUUUAUUUUCAUGUAUCCCAAAAAGCAAAGAACACACUAGUUCGUAAUUUACUGAUUAACAGUAUCAGUCGUAAUGGAAAACCUACAAUUAACUAUUUUUUCCCAAAUAUGG
rnacentral:misc_RNA from 1 species